rnacentral:rRNA from 1 species
UACGUAGGUGGCAAGCGUUGUCCGGAAUUAUUGGGUGUAAAGGGAGCGUAGGCGGGUGGACAAGUUGAAUGUGAAAGUGACAGGCUCAACCUGUUGUUGCGUUCAAAACUGUACAUCUUGAGUGAAGUAGAGGCAGGCGGAAUUCCUAGUGUAGCGGUGAAAUGCGUAGAUAUUAGGAGGAACACCAGUGGCGAAGGCGGCCUGCUGGGCUUUUACUGACGCUGAGGCUCGAAAGCGUGGGUAGCAAACAGG